AAGUCGUAACAAGGUUUCCGUAGGUGAACCUGCGGAAGGAUCAUUAACACGUAUCCAACGUUAAAAACCCCGUGAACCUUUAUUCGCCGCUCCCACGGCUCAGUCGCGUAAAGCUAGCAAUCCCUGUACUCCAGUGCACCGUGGUUUCAGAGCGCUUGGUUAGUGGCUUGUUUUUCCCCAAGCAAUCAGUGGGUGACAGUGUCAUUGAUUGUGUAAGGAUUUCGCUUAGCGAUCACUGGAGGUCGAUCACCGACCGGUGGAUCAAGUCACAGGGCUUCGGCUCCCUCCCCAACCCCACUUCCUAUUGCCGCUCCGCGCUAACAACGCCGGGCAUUUAAAAACGUACUAAACAACUGUUAACAAUGGAUAUCUUGGUUCUC
rnacentral:misc_RNA from 1 species